rnacentral:ncRNA from 1 species
AUAAACGAGAGUUUGAUCCUGGCUCAGGACGAACGCUGGCGGCGUGCCUAACACAUGCAAGUCGAGCGGAGACGGUGUUUGACACUGAGUUUUUUCG